CGAACGCUUGAAAUGAGGAUUUCUGGAC
rnacentral:piRNA from 1 species